GAACUGGGUGGCCAGGACAGCUGUUUCUGAGCUCUGAGAAGUUAAACAUGGCCAAGGAUUCAUGGUGUGCAGCUUUGGAAAUCUAGUCAGAGGCUCCCAUUGACAGCCUCUGGGAAGCUGUUUGGAUAAACUGCUCUGGGUCACGCAUUGGUUUCCCACAUCUGCUCCCCCAGUGACGUCCCAGUGCUAAUUUCUGGUGAAGGAGGGAAAAGACCGCCUGUGCCCAGAAUGUCACUCUUCAGAAGAUUUUGAAGAAUGCUGCUGACAAUGAAAAUGAGGAGUCAGAG
rnacentral:lncRNA from 1 species